GGGGCUACCAUGCAAGUCGAGCGGUAGCACAGGAGAGCUUGCUCUCCGGGUGACGAGCGGCGGACGGGUGAGUAAUGUCUGGGAAACUGCCUGAUGGAGGGGGAUAACUACUGGAAACGGUAGCUAAUACCGCAUAACGUCUUCGGACCAAAGUGGGGGACCUUCGGGCCUCAUGCCAUCAGAUGUGCCCAGAUGGGAUUAGCUAGUAGGUGGGGUAAUGGCUCACCUAGGCGACGAUCCCUAGCUGGUCUGAGAGGAUGACCAGCCACACUGGAACUGAGACACGGUCCAGACUCCUACGGGAGGCAGCAGUGGGGAAUAUUGCACAAUGGGCGCAAGCCUGAUGCAGCCAUGCCGCGUGUGUGAAGAAGGCCUUCGGGUUGUAAAGCACUUUCAGCGAGGAGGAAGGGUUCAGUGUUAAUAGCACUGUGCAUUGACGUUACUCGCAGAAGAAGCACCGGCUAACUCCGUGCCAGCAGCCGCGGUAAUACGGAGGGUGCAAGCGUUAAUCGGAAUUACUGGGCGUAAAGCGCACGCAGGCGGUUUGUUAAGUCAGAUGUGAAAUCCCCGCGCUUAACGUGGGAACUGCAUUUGAAACUGGCAAGCUAGAGUCUUGUAGAGGGGGGUAGAAUUCCAGGUGUAGCGGUGAAAUGCGUAGAGAUCUGGAGGAAUACCGGUGGCGAAGGCGGCCCCCUGGACAAAGACUGACGCUCAGGUGCGAAAGCGUGGGGAGCAAACAGGAUUAGAUACCCUGGUAGUCCACGCUGUAAACGAUGUCAACUUGGAUGUUGUGCCCUUGAGGCGUGGCUUCCAGAGCUAACGCGUUAAGUCAACCGCCUGGGGAGUACGGCCGCAAGGUUAAAACUCAUAUGAAUUGACGGGGGCCCGCACAACCGGUGGAGCAUGUGGUUUAAUUCGAUGCAACGCGAAGAACCUUACCUACUCUUGACAUCCAAAGAAUUCCCUAGAGAUAGCUUAUUGCCUUCGGGAACUCUAAAACAGGUGCUGCAUGGCUGUCGUCACCUCGUGUUGUGAAAUGUUGGGUUAAUUCCCCCACAAACGCAACCCUUAUCCUUUUUUGCCAGCCCGUAAUGGUGGGAACUCAAAGGAAACUGCCGGUAAUAACCCGAAGAAAGGUGGGGAUGACUUCCAUUCAUCGGGCCCCUACAAAUAGGGCU
rnacentral:rRNA from 1 species